rnacentral:rRNA from 1 species
CGCCAGCAGCCGCGGUAAGACAGAGGGUGCAAACGUUGCUCGGAAUUACUGGGCGUAAAGCGCGUGUAGGCGGUCUCGCGAGUCGGGUGUGAAAGCCCGGGGCUCAACCCCGGACGUGCACUCGAUACUACGAGGCUGGAGUACUGUAGAGGAUAGCGGAAUUCCCGGUGUAGAGGUGAAAUUCGUAGAUAUCGGGAGGAACACCAGUGGCGAAGGCGGCUAUCUGGACAGUGACUGACGCUGAGACGCGAAAGCGUGGGUAGCAAACAGGAUUAGAUACCCUGGUAGUCCACGCCGUAAACGAUGAGCACUGGGUGUUGCGGGUAUUGACCCCCGCGGUGCCGAAGCCAACGCGUUAAGUGCUCCGCCUGGGAAGUACGGCCGCAAGGCUAAAACUCAAAGGAAUUGACGGGGGCCCGCACA